CGUGUGCUCUCCAGAUCAUGUGUCCCACAAUACCCUCUCUGGUGGGGCUUCUGGGGAGCUGGACAGACCAAGUCAGUGGAGGCAAAUGGGUCUAUUUUUCCCAACUGGCAGCUCAGACUGCUGUCAAGGAAGACAAAGCUCUAGUGACUACU